rnacentral:rRNA from 1 species
CCUACGGGAGGCAGCAGUGGGGGAUAUUGCACAAUGGGGGGAACCCUGAUGCAGCGAUGCCGCGUGGGUGAAGAAGCGCCUCGGCGCGUAAAGCUCUGUCAGCAGGGAAGAAAAUGACGGUACCUGAAGAAGACGCCCCGGCUAACUACGUGCCAGCAGCCGCGGUAUUACGUAGGGGGCAAGCGUGGUCCGGAGUUAUUGGGGGUAAGGGGGGUUCAGACGGCGAUGCAAGCCAUGGGAGAAAGCCCGGGGCCCAACCCCGGGACUGCUUCUUGAACUGCGUGGCGGGAGUGCAGGAGGGGCAAGCGGAAUUCCUGGUGUAGCGGUGAAAUGCGUAGAUAUCAGGAGGAACACCGGUGGCGAAGGCGGCCAGCUGGACUGCAACUGACGUUGAGGCCCGAAAGCGUGGGGAGCAAACAGGAUUAGAUACCCCUGUAGUC